rnacentral:rRNA from 1 species
CAAUAGCGUUUAUUAAAGUUGUUGCAGUUAAAAAGCUCGUAGUUGGAUCUGUGGUGUGCGGUGGGCUCCGGGCACUUGUUGUCUGAGUAGCUCGCCGCUGCCAUCCUUGGGUGGAACCUGUGUGGCAUUAGGUUGUCGUGCAGGGGAUGCCCAUCGUUUACUGUGAAAAAAUUAGAGUGUUCAAAGCAGGCUUAUGCCGUUGAAUAUAUUAGCAUGGAAUAAUGAGAUAGGACUUUUUCGCUAUUUUGUUGGUUUGCGCGAAGAGGUAAUGAUUAAUAGGGACAGUUGGGGGUAUUCGUAUUCCAUUGUCAGAGGUGAAAUUCUUGGAUUUUUGGAAGACGAACUACUGCGAAAGCAUUUACCAAGGAUGUUUUCAUUAA